UACAGUUGUGGAUCAAGUGAGAGUCAGCUGAACCCCAGUUCAGGUUUAUGUACAAGAAAAUUUUACUAUAUAUAUACCUAGUGUCACUGUCAAUUGUCAUUAUUUUCGUCCAUAAACAAAAAAUACCAAAACUGGAAACUGGGUGGGCAAAUUCCUGCAUUUAUCAAGAAGCAUAAAUGGAUUAUUUAAAGGCAUUAAAUUUGUUGAAAAUUUGUUGUCUUUGGAGCAAUACACUUCAAGAAUGGACAAUGCCUAAGGAUGUUGGCUGGAUAGAGUUACAUCUUAGGAGAUUCACAAGAAAUAUUGGCCAUUCAACAAAGAUCGGUGAUCAUGAGCGAACGAGUUAAUGGCAUUGAUCAUCCAUCCACUAUUUUAGUAUACACACACUUGACUCUUUAUUGCUUUGCAAAUGGACAAAUCAGCACAUUACUGAAGUUGCUUUACAAAGCAAGAUUAUUUGCUUCUUUUGAUUUGUGGAGAAGAUCAUCCAGAAAUCGCACUUUUUUUUUUUGUUAUUAAUAGAGCAACACAAGUUUAAUCUUGCAUGCAGUUGGGGAAUAUAAACUAUCCUUUCGCUUCAUCGAACAUGCUCUAUCUCUAAACCUUAAAUAUUACGGAGCAAAAUCAAUUCAUGUUGCUGAGAAUCACAUAUCAUCUGAAUGCAAAACCCCAAGUUGCAUGGGUGAUUUCCGAUCAGCGUUGGCUAAUGAAAAAGAAGCAUAUUGUAUCUAAAAGACACAGUUGGGUGAAAAUCAUGAUAAGACUCAGGAAUCAUCACAGUGCCCACGCCUGUUGACACAACAAGCUGUCUGACUUUUAUACAUUAUUUACAAACCAAAAAGAUUGGGAACAGCGUUACAUUCAUCCAGAAUAUAUGCCAUGCUCUGAUGUAUUCUGUCUUAGAGUUGGAACAGAAAGAUUUUGUCAAGAUAUGGUUGCCAUCAAGGAGAACUUUGAAAAGUGGUCUGAUGGCAGCAAUAAGGAUUCUCGAUUGGAAUGAUGUUACGAUACGAAGCUGUGCCAACUCGUGAUAUUCAAAUGAAGCAAGUCGGUUUGCAUGCUCUUUGGCUGAGGUUUCUCGAACUAUUAUUGCGUCCGUUGCAAGAAAAUACUUUUAUUGGAUAUUUCCAUAACUCACCAAGAUCGUUGAUGAAUUUCGUCGUUCGUUAUAUACCAGAUGAACAGCCUUUACUUAGACCACAUCAUGAUUCUUCUACCAAAUACCCAUAAGUUAAAUUAAUAAUUUUUAUAACAACAAAACUUGAUGCUUGGUUAGAUUUAAGAAA